rnacentral:piRNA from 1 species
UGCAGAAUUAUUUCCUAACGCUGGCUGGGU